rnacentral:lncRNA from 1 species
GCGCGCGCCUGGGCCGGACGUGUCUCCGGAGUGUCCAGCAACAAUCUGUGCAUUCAUGCAUGCGUUGUUGCUGGACAUUCCUAAUUAAUAAAGUUUACUCCAAUCAUCACCCCAUGUGCAGCGCUUUCAUUAAAAAGGUUACUCUCAACCUUACAAGCAGUACUCAUCUUCCGCCUGGAACACAGAAGUUCCUCCAGCAGCCAAUAGAGACGCAGUGAAGAAAUACUCGUCCUCGAGUAACCAACGCACUCUACUGGGAAACGAUCCGGCGACCUACUGCACAUUUAUUGUUAGUUUUGAAUCGGCCCAAAAUACUGCUGACAUUACAGAUAUUUUUAUUUAAUACCAUCUUGAGUUCGUAUUCUCGCUUGUGUUUAAGUGUCAACAGUAUUCGUGUACUCUACCGGUGUAUUAGUUUAUCCCCGGACCGUAGGGACAGUCUGAUUGUAACACUAGUCCUGGGAGCUGGCCUAAAGGAGUGAGAUCUACUAGAUGUGAAUGUAAUGGCUUUGAAGCCAACACUAACCACUGAGUCAUACUUUAGCCGCAACAAAGCUUCUUCUUGUUAUAUUACAGUAACGCUUGUUCUAUUGUAGUUUAUGAUGACAGUCACGAACGCAUGCAACACAACGAGGUUGUAUGUAAUAGUAUUAUAAGACCAGUUAUAUUCCAAUCGACGAAAUAUAAAUGGUGUAAUAUGUAAAUCAAUACUUUAAGCUAAUAAUGGAGUCACUGUGGGGCAAGUGGCAGUAGUGAAGUAAUGUAAUGCUUGUAUUGUUAAUGUAUAAGAAUAUAAUCAUUCAACAAAUAAUCUAUCUGUGUAGAAUUAAUAUUAUUAAUGUUUGAUUCAAUAAUAUGGAUGGAUAUGGGAUGUUCCGACUGAGCACUGGGCUUAGCUUCUUAAUGUAUACGUAGAUAAGAACAAUGUAAUCGUUUAGAAUAAUAAAUAAUUAAGGCAAA